rnacentral:rRNA from 1 species
UACGUAGGGGGCGAGCGUUGUCCGAAUUUACUGGGCGUAAAGAGCGCGUAGGCGGGUUCUUAAGUGAGAGGUGAAAGGUUCAGGGCUCAACCCGAACAGUGCCUUUCAUACUGGGAGCCUUGAGUGUGGGAGAGGCGAGUGGAAUUUCUGGUGUAGCGGUGAAAUGCGUAGAUAUCAGAAGGAACACCCAUGGCGAAGGCAGCUCGCUGGCCUACAACUGACGCUGAGGCGCGAAAGCGUGGGGAGCGAACAGG